UAGCAAAUGUCCUGAUCCUCUGCUCUUCCACCCUUUCUUGUGCAUUGAUCCCUGGAUCUUAGUUGUACAAAACUUGAAAUCCAGACAAAACCAUGAAGAUUAUGCAAGUUGGCGUAUUAAUAAGGAAACAGACUGUGGGGAUGAAGGUCUUCUGUACGAUUGCUAAUGACUGGGCUAGGAUGAGAACGCAAACCCCAAAUUCUCAUUUCAUGCCCUUUCUAACCUCCAAUAAGUAAGCUGUUUGUGUUGAAUACCUUCAUUUCUCUGGUGAGAUCAACCAUGAACAGCUCCUCGGAGACAGGCUCAGGCAAGAAGACCCUUCUUCUACUCUGCCUGUUCAGACUUCAGUGAGCAAGGCCUCAGCAAAUCACUAGACCCAAGACAGCUAUGAACUAUACUGCAUUACAAGUACUACAGCAAUGCUCUGCAGUCAUUUUGUGGGUCCUCCAAUAUCACUAGAGGAGCUCAUAUUUCCUCCAUGCAGUCAGAAUGUGCAGUGGCUAUCCUAGUCAGCAUUAUCUCAGGCUUUCCUUGCCCUGAAAGGGAGACUUCAGAACCUGCCCACAUAUCAUACUCUCCCGUUUUUCUUACAUGAGACGGAGCUGAGGACGGUUCAGGAAGUGAGGAAGAGCUGCCUCUCCUGUCAGCUGAUAGGCAUUCUACUUGCUGUGGAAAUUAAAAACUAAAUACUAUUAUUAAAUUUUAUGUAAACAAUGA